CUCUGAGGGUCAUGGAGCAGACAGGAGAGGGAUUGGGUGCCUCUGGACACAGAAGGGGACAUUUGAGAUGCUAAUCACUACGGGAAAAAAGGAUUGAGAGUUUUAUUCCAGCCAAAUUAACUACCUGCUAGAAAUGAAACUACUGCUUCUUAUAAGAACAUAAUUAAAUCUAGUGUCUCUACAAUGCAUCACUAAAAUAUCUAGGAUACAAUCAAAGAUUACUAGAUACACCAAGAGAUAGGAUAAUGUAAUUGUACUCAAGAAAAAAUAAAGCAGUAAAUAUAAGCUGCCUCAGAAAUGACCCAGAUUAUCGAAUUGACGAAUAAGCACUUUAAACAUUGAUACAA
rnacentral:lncRNA from 1 species